UACGUAGGUGGCGAGCGUUGUCCGGAAUCACUGGGCGUAAAGGGCGCGUAGGCGGGUGAGCAAGUCAGGUGUAAAAACUAUCGGCUCAACCGGUAAGUAGCACUUGAAACUGUUCAUCUUGAGUACUGGAGAGGGAAGCGGAAUUCCUAGUGUAGCGGUGAAAUGCGUAGAGAUUAGGAGGAACACCAGUGGCGAAGGCGGCUUCCUGGCCAGCAACUGACGCUGAGGCGCGAAAGCGUGGGGAGCAAAC
rnacentral:rRNA from 1 species